rnacentral:rRNA from 1 species
UGGGGGAUAUUGCACAAUGGGGGGAACCCUGAUGCAGCGACGCCGCGUGGGUGAAGAAGCGCCUCGGCGCGUAAAGCCCUGUCAGCGAGGAANAANGACGUCUG